ensembl:lncRNA
GCACGAAGGAAAGUCAUACAUGCCGUACACCAGCACUGGCAGCAUGAGGUGCUUUGAAUGUGGGGACAUUGGAUGCAAAAAGUUCAUCUUCAAGUUCAUGAAAAGGUUAGUGGGGAGAGUGUCGGCGUUGAACGGGUUAGUGGGGAGAGGGUCGGCGUUGAACAGGUUAGUGGGGAGAGGGUCGGCGUUGAACGGGUUAGUGGGGAGAGGGUCGGCGUUGAACGGGUUAGUGGGGAGAGGGUCGGCGUUGAACGGGUUAGUGGGGAGAGGGUCGGCGUUGAACGGGUUAGUGGGGAGAGGGUCGGCGUUGAACGGGUUACUGGGGACAGGGUCGAAGUUGAAAAGGUUAGUGGGGAGAGGGUCGGCGUUGAAUGGGUUGGUGGGGAG